rnacentral:rRNA from 1 species
GACAGAGGGUGCAAACGUUGCUCGGAAUCACUGGGCGUAAAGGGCGUGUAGGCGGGAAUGUAAGUCGGGCGUGAAAGCCCCAGGCUCAACCUGGGAACUGCACUCGAAACUGCGUUUCUUGAGUAUCGGAGAGGAAAGCGGAAUACCUGGUGUAGAGGUGAAAUUCGUAGAUAUUCGCAAGAACACCAGUGGCGAAGGCGGCGUUCUGGACUGCUACUGACACUGAGGAACGAAAGCCAGGGGAGCAAACGGG